CUCAGAUUAGCCAUGCAAGUCUAAGUGUAAGUGUACAUUGUGCGAAACUGCGAACAGCUCAUUACAACUGUUAUUAUCUCUACGACUGCAACUCUCAAGAUGGAUAUCCAUGGUAAUUCUGUAGUUAAUACACGCAAUCCGUAAUGGGUGGUCAUUUAUAAUAAACGCCGAUCAGGUCAGCCUGAGUGUGGUGAUCGCGAUGACAGGAGAAUCGCAUAGUUGCGAAAGGUCGUGUGAAUUUCAGUCCUAUCAGCUCUCAUCUGUAAGGUAGCGGCUUACAAAGGCUGUGACGGGUGACGGGGAAUUAGGGUUCGAUUCCGGAGAGGGAGCCUGAGAAACAGCUACCACAUCCAAGGAUGGCAGCAGGCGCGUAAAUUACCCAAUCUCAAAACGAGGAGGUAGUUACCAGAAGUAGUGACUUGGGGCAUAUGCUCCAUGAUUACAAUGAGCGAGGUUUACAACAUCUCGCGAGAAUCAAUUGGAGGGCAAGUCUGGUGCCAGCAGCCGCGGUAAUUCCAGCUCCAAUAGCGUAUAUUAAAAUUGCUGCAGUUAAAGCGUCCGUAGUCGAACUCAGUCCGUCUGAGGUUUGGAUGGUUUCUAACCAUCUAUUCCUUAAGCACGGAAUUUACGAAAACCUGCAUGUCAGGUUUUUGUUCUGUUACUUUGAGUAAAUUGGAGUGUUCCUAGCAAGCUUGUGCAUGUACAUUUCAGCAUGGGAUAAUAUGAAUUCAAUUUAAAUUCAUCUGUGGGCGGGAUGAUUUAAAUUAUGAUCAAAAGGACUUCGCGGGGAUAUUUGUACUUGCGGGUGAGAGGUGAAAUUCUUAGACCCCGCAAAGACAGUCGACGGCGAAAGCAUUUAUCCAGCGAUUGUUCAUUGAUCAAGGACGAAAGUUGGGGAAUCGAAGAUGAUUAGAUACCGUCGUAGUCCCAACUAUAAACAGUGCUAACUGAGGGUUGGGGCUUGUUUCACAAUUGACAACUUCAAAACUCCAUGAGAAAUCCAAGUAUUUGAGUCCUGGGGGGAGUAUGGUCGCAAGGCUGAAACUUAAAGGAAUUGACGGAAGGGCACCACCAGGAGUGGAGCCUGCGGCUUAAUUUGAGUCAACACGGGGAAACUUACCAGGUCAAAACAUUGCGUUGAUUGACAGAUUGAGAGUUCUUUCUUGAUUCUUUGGGUGGUGGUGCAUGGCCGUUCUUAGUCGGUGAGUUGACUUGUCUGGUUAAUUCCGAUAACGGACGAGACCUCGGCCUGCCAAUUGGCUUUCACCUCGUGUUCAGAGAUGAAGCCUCUUUGAGGGACUUCGUGAGUCUAUCUCGAGGAAGUUCGAGCCUAUAACAGGUCCGUAAUGCCCUUAGAUGAUCUGGGCUGCACGUGUGCUACAAUGGCGGAUCCAGCAAGGUUUGUGCUAGUCUGCAAAGACUGGCAAAGCUUGUGAAACUCCGCCAUACUAGGGAUCAACCCUUGCAAUUGUGGGUUGUGAACCAGGAAUUCCUAGUAAAGAUGUGUCAUAAUCACAUGUUGAUUAUGUCCCUGCCCUUUGUACACACCGCCCGUCGCUUCAACUGAUUGGAUGAUCCGGCAAAUUACAUGGACGUUUUUGAAGUUAGAGUUCCUCUAAACUGACGAAACGAAAAUGCUGUGAGCCUUAUCUUCUAGAGGAUGAAGAAGU
rnacentral:rRNA from 1 species